AGUGAUGUAGGAAUACCCCACUGGUACGGAUCCGAUACCUCUCGAAGGGCACAAAGGCUCUCCGUACUCUACUCUUACUCAAAAUGUCCUCGACGUACAGAACGGUAACAUGUCUCUCCGCAUAUCUUAGGUUGGGUACACGGGGAAACCCAACUCCUUGGGAGGAUGGAUGAUAUGGCUGACAGCGUUUGU
rnacentral:ribozyme from 1 species